AGUGAACGCUGGCGGUAGGCCUAACACAUGCCAGUCGAACGGCAGCACAGUAAGAGCUUGCUCUUACGGGUGGCGAGUGGCGGACGGGUGAGGAAUACAUCGGAAUCUACUUUUUCGUGGGGGAUAACGUAGGGAAACUUACGCUAAUACCGCAUACGACCUACGGGUGAAGGCAGGGGAUCUUCGGACCUUGCGCGAUUGAAUGAGCCGAUGUCGGAUUAGCUAGUUGGCGGGGUAAAGGCCCACCAAGGCGACGAUCCGUAGCUGGUCUGAGAGGAUGAUCAGCCACACUGGAACUGAGACACGGUCCAGACUCCUACGGGAGGCAGCAGUGGGGAAUAUUGGACAAUGGGCGCAAGCCUGAUCCAGCCAUACCGCGUGGGUGAAGAAGGCCUUCGGGUUGUAAAGCCCUUUUGUUGGGAAAGAAAAGCAGCAGGUUAAUACCCCGCUGUUCUGACGGUACCCAAAGAAUAAGCACCGGCUAACUUCGUG
rnacentral:rRNA from 1 species